ensembl:lncRNA
CUGAGCUGCCUGGAGAUGGGACUAAUGACAGCUCAUGUUGAAAGAAGAGAGCUUUCAGCCUCUGCCAAAGGCACUGAUGUACAGGAGUGGUGUUGAAUAUUUGUGUUGCUGGAAGUGUAUGUGAGAGGAGAUGUAGAAAAUGUGGCAUCGUGGUUACUGGCAAGAUGUGCAGUGCCGAGGAGGAAAAUCUGAUGAGGAAUCCCCAGCAUCGUAAAUGGAUAAUGUGGUGUUGACUGGAGUGAGAAGCAGCAGCAUUUCCCAGGUAAACCAAUUACCUCGAUUGCGGAAUCACAGAAUUGCAAGGGUUGGAAGGGACCUCUGGAGAUCAUCCAGUCCAACUCCCCGCUACAGCAACUCCCUAUGAUGACUUCUGAUACGUGCCAGUGUGUGAGGAGAAGGAAGCAUUUCCUGAGAGCAGAUAUGUGAAGAUAUUCAGGCUCCCUUUAGGUACUAGAAGGCUGCAAUGAGGACUCCCCACAGCCUUCUGUUCUCCAUGCUGAACAAGCCCAGCUCCCUCAACCUGUCUUUGUAGUGGAGGUGCUCCAGCCCUCUGAUCAUCUCUGUGACCCUUCUCUGGAGGUUUUCUGUAAACAAUAAAGAAAAAGCAGAAGACAAGAAAAAAGGAGGCUGUAGGAGGCCACCCAGCAGGCUGAGCGUAUGUCCCAGUUUGAGAAGAUGCUGCUGCAGCUGUGCCACCCCUUUCUGACUCCUGCUGGACUGCAAGGGCCUUCAGUGCCAAGGAACUGGUGUUGUGAAGAAAGAUUGAGGAUGACAGCGCUGUAACUGCUGGUAUUCUACUGAGCACGUUCCCUGUAAAACGUGCUGGCUGUGAUCCUCCUUUCCUCCGGAGGCACGGAUUUGUGUGCACUCUGUUCCCUGCAGUGUUCUCUCUGUGUACAACACUCAUUGCUCAUAUUUCAGUGAGGGCUUCUUGUGAAGCUCUGUGUGCUAAGUGUUCCUGCUGCUGAUGGGCACCAGCACAGGGCUUCGUGCAGAGGGGCACAGUGGCACUCACUGCCAGCACGUGCUGGCCUGCAGAAGCAGAGCAGAAAGCUCUCAGUCACCACAAGCUGUGCUGCCAGAUGUCAAGGGAUGUGAAAAGCCAGCAGCUGGUGAUCAGCCCAUGUGAAUGGUGACAGAAGUGAUUCCCGCCCAGAAGUGUCCCAGUGGCUACUGGAGGCGGACCGCUACUGACAUCCAUAUGCUGAUCAUAACACAGGUAGUGGUUUCUCCACCUUUCUGGCCAUUCUGCUUGUGCAUCUGAGCACCUCCAGUACCACAGCAGAAUACUUUUAUUCAGCGUUGCCUAUGUAGUGAGCGUAUCUUAAACUCUGCCCCACCUGUUGUACAUCUGCAAACACACAGGUAGAACUUAUAUGCUGAUCUGUUAGAUGCUGGCUUAUCUCACUUGUCUGUAAGACCUUCAUGCAGUGAAGGCUCAUGUGAGUGCAGAGACUCAUCUCCCCAGGUUGCCUGUGUCACUGGGGAGAGAUGCAUCUCCAAGGGUGAUUCACAUGGCCUCUAUGGGAUGAAUCAUCCCAGAGGUCCCUGCUUAACUCUGCUUUGUUCCCUUUGGGGAGCAACACGUCUGCUUUAAAUGAG